UACGAAGGGGGCUAGCGUUGCUCGGAAUUACUGGGCGUAAAGGGAGCGUAGGCGGACAGUUUAGUCAGAGGUGAAAGCCCAGGGCUCAACCUUGGAAUUGCCUUUGAUACUGGCUGUCUUGAGUGCGGGAGAGGUGUGUGGAACUCCGAGUAUAGAUGUGAAAUUCGUAGAUAUUCGGAAGAACACCAGUGGCGAAGGCGACACACUGGCCCGUUACUGACGCUGAGGCUCGAAAGCGUGGGGAGCAAACAGG
rnacentral:rRNA from 1 species